rnacentral:tRNA from 1 species
GAUUAUAUGGUGAAAGUAUCACGUUAUUGUUUCAUGAUAAAGAUGUUAUCUGUUAUAGUCC